AUCUAAAUUUUGUCUGGCUUCCUAGCUUCAUCCUAGCUCUAGAAUAGUGCGUAGUAGUGUACGUGGAAUUAGAAAACAAUGGAUCACACGAUCACAGAUGGGCUAACGAGUCUAGAAUUGGGGAACGUGUUGUUCGAAAAGGCUAUGAAAGGGAGAUGGGGUGAAGUCAUCGAUAUAUGUACGGAAAAACCAUUGUCUCUGGUGGCCGGAAUCACCAGGUUGGAGGACACAAUGUUACACCUAGCUGUCUCCAGCGGCCAAGAGGAGAUAGUCCGAAAACUCACAUGUAUUAUCUCUGGACAGCCACAUCACGGAAUGCUACUGAGGGUUAAAAAUGAGAGAGGGAACACCGCUCUCCAUAUCGCUGCACUAAUGGGGAAUAAGGCCUGUGUAAGUACAUAGCAAGUGUUGAUCCUUCAUUGAUCGGAGAACGUAACCAUGAGGGAGAGACUCCUCUUUUCACGGCAGUGCUCUUCGGUAAAAAACAAGCCUUCGAAUGCCUUUACAAUUUGUGUCUGUCCAAUGAUGAGCGUUACAGUUGUUCCAGGAAUACGAGUACUGGUGACACGAUUCUUCAUUGCGCCAUUUCUGGAGACCAUUUUGAUUUGGCAUUGCGAAUAGUUGAGUUGUAUGAGGAAGUACUUGUAAACGCUGUCAAUGAGGAUGGAAUCACACCACUCCAUCUACUAGCGGACAAGCCUUCGGCCUUCCCAAGCGGCAGCCGCCUUGGAUCUUUCCAACGAAUCAUUUAUCAGUGCAUAUAUGUUGACGAGUACAAGAUGAUGGAACCGGAUGAUCAUUUUUUCCAGCGCUCUAUGCAACCGAUAGAAAGACUUCCUGCCUACGAAAGGAAUCCAAAUAAUUAUCCUGAGAACUACAGAAGAUGCAACGACUUCUAUCGAUGUUUUGGAAUUUCUUUACAUUUUUACGACUCGCAAUGGGAAUAAAUGUUGGAGCACAGACCAAUGAAGAGAACCCUCAAACACACGCAGGAAAUCAAGGCAAGCAACGUAACGCUGCAUAUAUAAUAUUCUCAUGACUGUCAAGUUGUGAGUACACUAAAUUAAAUUGUUGAGAUAGUAAUAUUCUC